rnacentral:rRNA from 1 species
AACGAACGCUGGCGGCAGGCCUAACACAUGCAAGUCGAACGAACCUUUUAGGUGAGUGGCGCACGGGUGCGUAACGCGUGGGAAUAUACACUUGAGUAAGGAAUAACGUCUGGAAACGGCCGCUAAUACCUUAUAAUGACUCCGGUCCAAAGAUUUAUCGCUCAAGGAUUAGCCCGCGUCUGAUUAGUUUGUUGGUGAGGUAAUGGCUCACCAAGACGAUGAUCAGUAGCUGGUCUGAGAGGAUGAUCAGCCACACUGGAACUGAGACACGGUCCAGACUCCUACGGGAGGCAGCAGUGAGGAAUAUUGGACAAUGGGGGCAACCCUGAUCCAGCCAUGCCGCGUGAGUGAAGAAGGCCUUAGGGUUGUAAAGCUCUUUCAAACGUGAAGAUAAUGACGGUAGCGUUAGAAGAAGCCCCGGCUAAAUUCG